rnacentral:tRNA from 4 species
GGAGGGCUGGCAGAGCCUGGGUUAAUGCACCCGUUUCGAAAACGGGCAGGGGCUGAAAGGUCCCUCGGGGGUUCAAAUCCCUCGCCCUCCG